rnacentral:rRNA from 1 species
UACGUAGGGCGCAAGCGUUGUCCGGAAUCAUUGGGCGUAAAGAGCUCGUAGGUGGUCUGUUACGUCUGCUGUGAAAACCUAGGGCUUAACCCUGGGCCUGCAGUGGAUACGGGCAGACUAGAGGUAGGUAGGGGAGAAUGGAAUUCCCGGUGUAGCGGUGAAAUGCGCAGAUAUCAGGAGGAACACCGGUGGCGAAGGCGGGUCUCUGGGCCGAUACUGACGCUGAGGAGCGAAAGCGUGGGGAGCGAACAGG